AAUAUAAAUAAAAUAAUAAUUUGUAGUGAUUCAUUAUCUGCAUUAUUAAGUAUAGAAAAGGGAUGUACAAAGAUUUUUCGUUUUUUUUUUUUAUUCUGGGAUCAUAAGGAUUUGAAGGAUAUAUAUUAGGAUCCAAUAGAUGGCAGUAAUGCAACAACUAUGGAUGCAAGCUGUCGUUAAAUCCUAAAGAAGAAGAAGAAGAAGACGACGACUUUACUGUGUUUGGAUUUUACUGGUAUGCCGGACAACGUCUCGCGUUCAACUCCUCUAGGACGCGAUCCACAACUUUCAGCCAGUCCGCAGACUGACGAGAAGAAACUGCGGUUUGCUAUCAGUGGACUGUCUCGUCAGCUUACUCAACAUACUGCCGACAUGAAUGAGAGAUGGCGGCUCUGCAGUCGAAGAACUGUGCUGGAGAGACUAACUCCAUCAAGAGAAGACGGAUGCACAAAAGCUUGCGUACGCCGUCUUCACAACUCGGAGACAAAUUUCAG